CUCAUAGCGUAUAUUAAGUUGUUGCAGUUAAAAAGCUCGUAGUUGAAUUUCUGGUGCAAUCGUAGUCUUGGCUUCGGUCGGGCUAUGGUUGAUCAUCCGUUUGCAAGCUGCACUCGGCCUUCACUGGUUCGGUGUAGUGAGCUGACAUUUUACUUUGAAAAAAUUAGAGUGUUUCAGGCAGGCUUUUGCCCGAAUACAUUAGCAUGGAAUAAUGGAAUUGGACUCUGGUCCAUUUGGUUGGUUAUUGGAUCUGAGUAAUGGUUAAUAGGGACAGUUGGGGGCAUUAGUAUUUAAUUGUCAGAGGUGAAAUUCUUGGAUUUAUUAAAGACUAACUUAUGCGAAAGCAUUUGCCAAGGAUGUUUUCAUUAAUCAAGAACGAAAGUUAGGGGAUAAAAGAUGAUCAGAUACCAUUGUAUUCUUAACUAUAAACUAUACCGACUCGGAAUUGGUAGGGUAUUUUAGCUCUAUCAGCACCGUAGGAGAAAUCAAAGUCUUUGGGUUUUGGGGGGAGUAUAGUCGCAAGGCUGAAACUUAAAGGAAUUGACGGAAGGGCACCACCAGGAGUGGAACCUGCGGCUUAAUUUGACUCAACACGGGGAAACUUACCAGAUCAAAACAUGGGUGGGAUUGACAGAUUGAGAGCUCUUUCUUGAUUCUAUGGGAGGUGGUGCAUGGCCGUUCUUAGUUGGUGGAGUGAUUUGUCUGGUUAAUUCCGUUAACGAACGAGAC
rnacentral:rRNA from 1 species